GGUAACGGCUCACCUAGGCGACGAUCCCUAGCUGGUCUGAGAGGAUGACCAGCCACACUGGAACUGAGACACGGUCCAGACUCCUACGGGAGGCAGCAGUGGGGAAUAUUGCACAAUGGGCGCAAGCCUGAUGCAGCCAUGCCGCGUGUAUGAAGAAGGCCUUCGGGUUGUAAAGUACUUUCAGCGGGGAGGAAGGGAGUAAAGUUAAUACCUUUGCUCAUUGACGUUACCCGCAGAAGAAGCACCGGCUAACUCCGUGCCAGCAGCCGCGGUAAUACGGAGGGUGCAAGCGUUAAUCGGAAUUACUGGGCGUAAAGCGCACGCAGGCGGUUUGUUAAGUCAGAUGUGAAAUCCCCGGGCUCAACCUGGGAACUGCAUCUGAUACUGGCAAGCUUGAGUCUCGUAGAGGGGGGUAGAAUUCCAGGUGUAGCGGUGAAAUGCGUAGAGAUCUGGAGGAAUACCGGUGGCGAAGGCGGCCCCCUGGACGAAGACUGAC
rnacentral:rRNA from 1 species